UGACCAGAGAUUCAACUCUCACCUCAUGUGCUGGGAGGUGGUCUCAACCACUGGGCCACUGGGGAAGUCCCCAGGUUUUCAAAAGAGGCCAGACUGCCGGAUUUUGGUGUGAAGCUAUGCCAUUUGCGAAACACAGUGUAUAUUUUGAAUAGAUUCUGUUCCGGGUUUUUGAACACCUAAAAAUAAAACCUAUUCUUUGAGUCAAAAACAAUGGUACAGUUUUGAGAUUUGUCUGAGCUGCCACCAGGGGGUAGGGAAGAGACAUCACAGAGCAUCACAAGUGGUGGAAGAAAGAACAAAUGUCACGGGACACUCUCUUCUGAAUCUGGCCCAUUUAAUGCACCAGGAUUUUACUCUGCCACCAUGCUGAACUCAGGAGAGGCCAUUUGACUUGCUGCGGCCAGUGAGAUGUGUGCACAAGGGACAGGUGUCACUUCUGGGCAGAAGCACUAAGAAUCGGUGUCUGACAUCUGAAGAGGUUUCAAGCUGGACGAUUUUUCAGGAGCACCUCUGCCUAAUCCUGGAUCUUAGUUCCUCAACACGGGAUCCUCAAACUUGUGCCCCUGCAGUGGUAGCAUGGAGUCCUAACCACUGGACCACCAGGGAUGUCCCUGGGCUUCCAUUUUGGAGGCUUCUGCAAUGACUUCAGUUUCAGCACUGACAUAUCCCUUCCAUGGUUACAGACCCCAAGGAGUUGCUCUUCCACCUGCCCAGCUUCUCAUACCUUCUGAGCUCAGAUCAAGCUUGAGACAAGUUACCCAGCAUCUAGACUGAAAGGACAUGAGUUUGAGCAAACUCCGGGACAUACUGAAGGACAAGGAAGCCUGGCAUGCUGUAGUCCAUGUGGUUGCAGAGUUGGACAUGACUUAGCGACUAAAGAACAACAAGAUUGAAAGGAAACAGUAUACUUACAAAACUACAUCCCAAAUAGUUUAUUCUUGGUCAUUGGUUGAGGCUACAUUCUGGCUCUCACUUUGAAGUGGGGGUAAUAUUCAAAAUGCAUACUUAAUGACCAGUUGUCUUGGCACCAUGAUGGAGUGGGGAACUGACUAAUUGCUAGGUCAAACCAGUGCACAUAGGCUGAAUAUAAGAUUGGACAGGGGUCCCAAACAGGCAGACCUCUGGGCCAUGUUGCCAGUGUAUGAGUUUUGUUAGUUAUGCAGCAUGAUUUUGUACUCUGUUUCUGAGCCUUUAGGCCUUUAGAGCGCAUGUCCUCUUGCAUUUCCAGUCACGAAAUUAAAAGACACUUGUUCCUUGGAAGAAAAUUUAUGACCAACCUAGACAGCAUAUUAAAAAGCAGAGACAUUACUUUGCCAAUAAACCUCCAUCUAGUAAAAGCUAUGGUUUUUCCAGUAGUCACGUAUGGAUAUGAGAGUUGGACUAUAAAGAAAGCUAAGUGCCGAAGAAUUGAUGGUUUUGAACUCUGGUGUUGGAGAAGACUCUUGAGAGUCCCUUGGACAGCAAGGAGAUCCAACCAGUCCAUCCUAAAGGAAAUCAGUCAUGCAUAUUCAUUGAGAGGACUGAUGCUGAGGCUGAAACUCCAAUGCUUUGGCUAUCUAAUGCGAAGAACUGACUCAUUGGAAAAGACCCUGAUGCUGGGGAAGAUUGAAGGCAUGAGAAGAAGGGGACGACAGAGGAUGAGAUGGUUGGAUGGCAUCACUGACCCAAUGGACCUGAGUUUGAGUAAACCUUGGGAGUUGGUGAUGGACAGGGAGGCCUGGCGUGCUGCAGUCCAUGGGGUUGUAAAGAGUCGGAUACGACUGAGCGACUGAACUGAACUGAUCUUGUCUCAUGUCUUAGAACUUACUGGCUUUGCUGGUUUGUCUUACCUCUGCUUCCUGGAAACCAUCUGCCUGUGCCAGACUAUUUUUCAAACCUUUCUUUGAGGUCCCAUAUUUAUCCCGGGGUGGUUCACUUUGAUUUGUCUCUUAAAAGAUCCCAGAUUAUUAUGACCUGGACAGGUCCUCAUAUAGGUGGGAAUUGUAGGACCUCCUCGACUGCUGGGCCUAAAUUUCCACAGAGGUAGGCAUCCCAUUCUGAAUCUGAACUACAUCAAUAUUACAGCUACUCAUUAAAUUGUAAUUGACUUGGAAAGGAGAAACUAAACAUAGAAACAGACAAUGGCCAGGCCCUAUGUAAAAAUAGAAUUCUGACCCACAGCCUACAACAAACUCACCCAGGAAACCAACCCCUUUAUUGACAAUAAACCGUUCAGGAAGCCAGCCUGUCAUACGUCAGACUGCUGACUUGUUUGAAGUCAGACUACUAUUUCUAAUAACAAUCUAGGGAGCAUUCCGUGUGGUCAGACUCCAGUCUUCACUGCUGAGGCCUCAGGUUCAAUCUCCAGUCAGGGAACUAAAAUCCCACAAGAUGCAAGGCCAAAAAAACCCACAAACAAACUCACAAACCCACAACAAAACAAAAGGCAAGACAAACAAAAAACCCAAAAGAAACAAUCUAGAAGGUUACACAGUAAUUUUUGUAACAGUCGACCCCAAAUGACCAGAAUUGUAUUAAAAACAGCUUCCCAAAUUUUUGUCCCACUUCCAACUGAGGGUCAGUCAGAAAAAGCCAAAUAUGUACCCUUAACCGUUCAUGGAAGAGACCCUGCUGUGAUUUAGCCCUCCUCCAGCUUUCCUGGGCCCAGAGCCUCUAGUCAGAGCACACCUGAAGCCUCUCUAUUUUGUACCAUCAAGUUUCCUACUUCCCUGCCUGCCUUUGCAUCCUUGCCAAGAUGCCAGGGACAGUGGUCGGACUCACUGCUUAUCCAAGUUCUGAAUAAAUAGCCCUUCAUUGUUCUCAUUUGAUUGGUCUUUGUUUAU